rnacentral:rRNA from 1 species
UUAUUCUUGCAUAAAUUAUUUAUUUAAGUAUUAUUUUAUAUGUAAAUUUUUGUAUAUUUAAAAUUUCUUUAAGAGUUAAAAAUGUAAAGUGCAGUAGAUAUAUUUAUAAAUUAAGUAAUUUUAGAUUUAGUAAAUAUAAAAGAAUUGGUAAAAUUUGUGCCAGCAUCCGCGGUUAUACAUGGAAUUCAAGUAAAUAUUAUUGGUUUUGAAGUAAUUAUUAAAAAUAGUUAUAUUUAUAAAUAAACAAUUAUAUAGUGAAAUAAUAAUUGUUUAUUUAUAAAGAUUGGAAAGUAAGAAUUAUUAUGAAAUUAAAAAUUUAAACUAGGAUUAGAUACCCUAUUAUUUUUAAUGUGAAAAAUUUAAGCUAGAGUAAUAGUAGAUAUGAUCUUAAAACUUAAAGAAUUUGGCGGUAUUAUAUGUCUAUUUAGAGGAAUCUGUUAUGUAAUCGAUAAUCCACGUUGAACCUUACUUAUAUAAUUAUCUUGUAUAUCGCUGUUGUGAAUAUAUUUUUAGAUUAUAAUCAGGAAAAAUAAAGUUUUGUUUUUUCAAGUCAUGGUGCAGUAAUAUAUAAGAUGAAUAAUGGAUUACAAUAAAUUUUAUUUAAACGGAUUGUAACUGAAAUGAUUAAUUGAAGGUGGAUUUAAUUGUAAUUUUAUGAAGAUUAUUAAGUUGAUUAAAGUUCUAUAAUAUGUACACAUCGCCCGUCACUCUCAUAUUAGAUGAGAUAAGUCGUAACAAAGUAGGUGUAUUGGAAAAUGUACCUAGAAUUAAU